rnacentral:rRNA from 1 species
UACGAAGGGGGCUAGCGUUGCUCGGAAUCACUGGGCGUAAAGGGUGCGUAGGCGGGUCUUUAAGUCAGGGGUGAAAUCCUGGAGCUCAACUCCAGAACUGCCUUUGAUACUGAGGAUCUUGAGUUCGGGAGAGGUGAGUGGAACUGCGAGUGUAGAGGUGAAAUUCGUAGAUAUUCGCAAGAACACCAGUGGCGAAGGCGGCUCACUGGCCCGAUACUGCGCUGAGGCACGAAAGCGUGGGGAGCAAA